GCUUCCUUAGCUCAGCCAGUAGAGCACAAGUCUCAAAUACGCGGAAAGCACAUGCAUAAUCUCGAGGUCGCAAGUUCAAGCCUUGCAGGGAGUA